GAAAUGCGAUAAGUAAUGUGAAUUGCAGAAUUCAGUGAAUCAUCGAAUCUUUGAACGCACAUUGCGCCCGCCAGUAUUCUGGCGGGCAUGCCUGUCCGAACGUCAUUUCAACCAUCAAGCCCCCGGGCUUGUGUUGGGGACCUGCGGCUGCCCGCAGGCCCUGAAAACCAGUGGCGGGCUCGCUGUCACACCGAGCGUAGUAGCAAUCACCUCGCUCAGGGCGUGCUGCGGGUUCCGGCCGUUAAACAGCCUUACAAAACCCAAGGUUGACCUCAGAUCAGGUAGGAAGACCCGCUGAACUUAAGC
rnacentral:misc_RNA from 1 species